rnacentral:sRNA from 1 species
ACUGGGCAUGGUGAUGUUUGCCUGUAGCCUCAGCUUCUUAGGAGGCUGAGGCAGGAGGAUCACCUCAGCCCAGGAGUUUGAGACCAGCCUGGGCAAUGUAGUGGAAACCUGUCUCAA